GUAAACCGCUAGGGGAGUUUCGACUGAGAGCAGCAACCGGCUGCGACCCUUGGAACCUGAUCCGGGUAAUUCCGGCGUAGGGAAGCGGACGAUUUCGAAU
rnacentral:ncRNA from 2 species